UACGUAGGGCGCAAGCGUUGUCCGGAAUUAUUGGGCGUAAAGAGCUCGUAGGCGGUCUGUCGCGUCUGCUGUGAAAUCCCGAGGCUCAACCUCGGGCUUGCAGUGGGUACGGGCAGACUAGAGUGCGGUAGGGGAGAAUGGAAUUCCUGGUGUAGCGGUGGAAUGCGCAGAUAUCAGGAGGAACACCGAUGGCGAAGGCAGUUCUCUGGCCGUAACUGACGCUGAGGAGCGAAAGCGUGGGAGCGAACAGGAUUAGAU
rnacentral:rRNA from 1 species